ACGCUCUGGUUUCUCUUCAAAACAAACAAAUCUUUCACCUUUUACUGAAGAUUUCCGUGGAAAGGAACAGUUACGAGUUGAUAACCAAAUUUUUUGAGGUCUUGCUCAGGCAAGGCU
ensembl:snRNA U5 U5 spliceosomal RNA